AAGUUUAAAAAUUCGAUCGGCCAGAGGUUUACACGACAGAUACGAUGAUUUGAAGGGAGGUGAUUUUGAUCCUAAUGGGAAGAACCCUUUAGCUAUGUUAAUGAAGAGGAAUGUGAAUAUAUUGCUUUGAGCAGAUAAAUCUUGUUGUGUUGACGAGAAGCUGAAAAGUGUUCUUCAAAAAUGGUACCAGG